CAACUCAAACGAGGGGACAGUGUUGUGCUACCACGUGUCUAAUUCAAUUCCUGUCUGGUCGGGUGGCCCCAAGAUGAGGGAGAGAGACAGGCUGUCUGUGGUCUGAGUGUCCUUUGCUUGUUGGCAGGCAGACCUCUGGACCCAGAAACACCUGGCUUGAAUACUGGAGGUAUAGAUUUCUAGAAUCAGCAUGGCGGGGGGGUUGUCUCCUGGGAAGCUGGGCUUCAGGUCAUGAAUGGGGUGUGUCCGUGCGGUUGUAUUUGGGGGCGGGGGUGGACUAUGCUCAUGGCGGGCUCUGUCCAUCAGAAGGAGCCAGAGUAACUGGAGAGCCCCUCCCCACCAACACCUCUCCCCCCUUGUAGCACUGUGGCUGCGUCGCCAGGCUCAGACACGGGGUGCAAAAUGAUUGGUGGCCCAAUGUGCCUCAACUCAGAGAUGAUCCAGAUUCCACCAUCACGUCUUGGGUUCAUUCUCUGCAUGAGCGGGUAGCCCAAUGGCUAGAGAGUUUGAUAGGCGGCCUGGGGCCUGCGUGCCCUUUGCUUGUUUGAAGUACAACACUGGACCCAGAAAUCCCUGGCUUCGAUAUUGGGUAUGCAGUGGUUUAGCAUCAGGCUGGUGUGAUAAUUUGGCUUUAGGAGAUCUGGGCUUUGGGUCAUGAAUAUAACACAUCAGGCCACGGGUAUUGUGGGAGUGGGUCUCAGCCUCUCCCUGUGCCUUUCUCUCUAGAUAUCGCCACCUCCUCCUUCCUCCUGCUCCACCUGAGCCUCUGCUUCCUCUGCGGAGAACCUUGUGCCCAGGAAUCCACCUAAAUCCAGAUAUCGCCACCUCCUCCUUCCUCCUGCUCCACCUGAGCCUCUGCUUCCUCUGCGGAGAACCUUGUGCCCAGGAAUCCACCUAAAUCCAGAUAUCGCCACCUCCUCCUUCCUCCUGCUCCACCUGAGCCUCUGCUUCCUCUGCGGAGAACCUUGUGCCCAGGAAUCCACCUAAAUCCAGAUAUCGCCACCUCCUCCUUCCUCCUGCUCCACCUGAGCCUCUGCUUCCUCUGCGGAGAACCUUGUGCCCAGGAAUCCACCUAAAUCCAGGUAAAGUGAAUGAUGCCAGGGAGGUCGUGGAUCUCAAGCGAGGUGCCAGGGCUGAGGGUGCUGAUUGCUGGCAACUGGCCUCUGUUACCUUACCAAGCGGGGUGUCUGAUUCAGGGAGCGGGGUGGUCUCAUGUGGGGUGAGUGUCCUGGCCGACUUUGAGAUAGUCCUAAUGCCACCCAUCUGGCAUUUCAGUGUGCUGCAAGGGAGAGGAGUAAGGAAAUUGGGCUGGCAAGUGGCCCAGGCCAGUGCAGACCAGGCUUCUGCUAUGAGAGGCGGAGGAAGGGCUGAGAGUUGCUAUUAGAGCACAUGCCCACCAGCGGGCACCA
rnacentral:lncRNA from 1 species